rnacentral:lncRNA from 1 species
GUAAAGUCUGUUCAGAGAAAACAUGGGCAAAUGCAGGAAUUCAUUGCUAACUGUACACAUUCCAUCAAAAGACUGAAACUUUCCCUAGACUAUCAACUGUUACCAAGUCUUACUUUAGUAAAUAACGGAAUGAAAAUCCCUGUACACGAACAUUUGAACAUCUAGGUUGUAUUUUUACACCUCCCUUUACUUUCCUCACACCUCCUCCCUCACCCCCCCUAAAUAAACUAUUAGUGAGUAGUAAACUCAGGAUAAAAUGAAUUUAAGUGGACCAGCUGAGAAACUAGAAUUGCUCAGAUUUAUAAGCCCCACGAAAGGCGCAGAGCUUGAUGUAUAAUCAUUGCUCGAUUAACUUUUCACGUACAUUCGCAGUUAAUUGUCCAUUUUAUUAGGUAUGUAACACCUGAAUUUAAAAGGGUGUAUUUUACCAGUAACUUUAAAGCACUUAAUUAUUUUCUUAAAUUAUGUGAAUUUUUAAAAUACAAAUUGUGUUUAGUUGGUCUUGUCAAAAUGUUAGAUAAAUUUUUUUAAAAUGUGUCUAGUUUGAGGUGUCUCUUUGAAACUAAUGGAUGUAGCUACCCUUUUAACCUGCUAAGUGAUUUAAGUAUUCUCGUUUGCAUACAAAAUAGUCAUAUUUAGAGCGAAAAGUUUCCUAGAAAUAGGCUUUCUAAUCACCAAUUUACUAGCCAACAUUUAUUUAUUGACAUCUACAUUUUGAUGAGAAUUAUGAUAGAAUAUUAACCAAUCCCAUUGUACAGAGAAAAGUAACAUGUUCUUCCUCAGAGCCCACACAGUACAUGCUAAAAUUACAGCAUUUAGAGUAUGUUUUUUAUCCAUGUUCCAUGAACUAAAGCUCCAUUGGCC